UAAAAAAUAGGUGGCAUAAAGAUAUAAUAUUAAUAUUACAAAUAUAUACAAUGAAAAUAACAUCACCUCUAAACACUACAAUUUGCAUAUUAUAUAGUGGGUAUAUAUAUUGGUUCCUGUGUGAUUUUACACCUUCAGCCACUUGUAGUUUGUCUUGGCAUGAUUUAUUUCCAACUGAAUAAAUGAAUCAUAUUUAUUUGUACCCUUUAGUUUGUUCUUGUUUACUUUGGCUUCCAUUCAUUGCAACUCAAAUUAUUUAUUUUUAAUUUUUUUUAAAUCAAAAUUUAUAGGAUUUUAGUAAAUAUGAAAAGAGACAAAAAGAGAAAAAAGAAGAUUGUAUUUAGAUUUUUAGUAAAGAAAAGUUAAGAGGAUCGGGAUUAUGAAAUUUAUUAGUAAAUUUGAUUUUCCUUUUUUAUAAACAUAAAUAAUUAUGUUUGACUGAAGAAAUACUUUAUUUUCUUUGUUUUACUUUUUUUUUUAUACAUUUAGGUGCUUUAAUUUUCCCAACAAUAUUUCAUCUAUAAUUUCUUUUUUGUUUUCCCUUUUUGGUUUCAUGAUUUUUUUGAAAUUAAAUGAAAUGCAUUUGUUGAGUGGAAACCCUAAGCUCAACUUAAUGUUUUGUUGGGGAUACCUCUUAGGUGGAGGUGGGAGCCCGUCAAUUAUUAUGUUGGUAGCUAAGAUACUACUACAUCUCAAUAAGGGUAUUCAAAAAGUUCAUAUUUUCUACCAACUUAUUUUCAAAUAACUUGAGACCGAGUUGGAAGCUACUCUUUGAAAUAGUUGUGUUAUGAAGAAAAAUUAAUUUCUAACUUUAAAAAAAAUGUAAGAUAACUAUGCCUAAAUAUAUAUAUAUAUAUAUUUUAAAAAAAAUAUUCUAAAAACAUGUUUUUAAAGAAGAAAUUUGAAUGUUUUCAAGUAAUUUUUAUAAAAUAUUCCAAAAUAUUAUAGAGUUUUGGACUACAUAAAAAAAUUUCUCAUCUAUUUGAUAAUUUUAUCUAUAAAUAAAAUAAAAAGGACAAACAUAUAGAGAGAUAACCAUAUGAUAAUAGCAACCAUAUCUUCAACACUCCAUGAUUUGAUGCAUGGAUAUUAAUUAAGCUUAUCUUGGAUAAAGCACUUUGUAACAUACUUUGAGAAAAGGGAUAUGGUAAAAACAUUAUCCUACUAAUUUAUAGAGUGAAUGUAGGGAGUAGAAAUUUCUCAAGCUAGUACCUUUUUUUAAGAAUGAAGUGACAAUCAAAAUGUUUCGUGUAUUCAUGUAAAACAAGAUUAAAGGCAAUGUGAAUGGUCGCUUGAUUGUCACAAAGUCUAGGGGAAGCAUAUGAAAUUGGGAUACCUAACUUAUUCGUCAUUUUUGAAGCCGAAUGAAUUCACGACAUGUGUGGGUUGUGAUUCGAUAUUCAACUUCAACACUAUUAUAGCUACCAUGGAUUGAUUUUGUGGUAUUCCAUGUUACCAAGUUGCCCCAUAAAAAUUUACAUGAUCCUAUAGUAGAUCUUAUAUUAUCGGAAGAACUCUCCCAAUUUGCAUCUAAAUAGUCAACAAUAUUUAGAAAACCUUUGUUUUGAAACAAAAUUUCAAAGUAGAGCAUUCUAGAUAUAAUGAAGAAUUCAUUAACUACUUCCAAAUGUUCAAUAUAUGGCACAUGCAUGCAUUUAUUGACAAGACUAACUGAAUAGGCUAGAUUAGGGAUGAUUCUCUCCUCUUUUAUUUUUGGUUCUUCCAUCCUCUUACAUAUUUGGUUCUCAUAUGCCUACAUUUUUUGAAACAUUUCCUAUCAUUUUGGUAGGCGGAGAUGGAAUUGCUAGAGUCGAUGUUCCUUCUAGAAAGGCAAAAUCAAAGUAUAGUGUUGAACAAGUAGGUGUGAUUGUUGAGUUAUAUAGUGGCGAACUUGAUGGAGUCAUUUCAAGAUAGUCUACUAUGCUCUAUUGGUCGGUUUUCCCUAUUGUCAAAAAUAUUAAACUUUUUUAUAUAACAAUUCUGAUUAAGAAAAAUCAAAGAAAGAGUUACCAGGAUUUUUAUAGUACUUCAAAUGUCAUCAUCAAGGACUAACCUAUGGAAAUUGUUCAAAUUAGGUAAAAAAAAAAUUAUUUUUUUAUCUAAUUCUCUAAAUUUGAAUGAAAUUUGGGUUUGUUAAAUAAAUCUAUUUUAAAAUGGGAGAAUUCAAGAUUGGAUGUUCCACAAUACAAUUUUAGGUUUAGUGUUUUAACUAAAACAAUGGUAUUUAGUUUUAUUAAUCUUAUGGUAUUCAAGACUUAUGGUCAAACAAGAUCAACUUAAAACAACAUACAUUUCCUUUUUCUUUUCUUUUUUCUUUUUUUUUUUAUCUUUUUUUAGAAAAAAAAAAAAGUAUGUGUAUCCAAAUGGAUACUAAAAAUCAAUUUAAAUAAUAAUAAUAAUAAUAAUGACCCUACAUGAGAAGAAGAACUUUAUACAAAAAUAUAUAAAAAUAGAUUUUAAAUGAAGAUAGUAAAGAUAGACCCAAACCCCAAUUUUCAACAAUUUUUUUAAAGACAAAAAAACUAGCAAUGCUAUAUGUUGUUGUAAAAAAAAAAUGAAAGAAUAAUUUUUUUUUGUCCUAUUAUCUUAUUAUUGAUGCAGAUUUUAUAUAUUUAGCUAUUUAUAUUUCUUUUAAAAAUUGUACUAGUGAUGUAUUUUUUUGGCAGGGAAAAUUAUUACUAACAAAUAUGACUUAUAAUUGUCUAUUAAUUCAUAGACGUUUGUUUUUGCUACCAUAAUGUAUUGAAUUUUUUUUUUUGUCAUUAAAUAUGUUUAAUGAAUAAAUAUUUAGUUUUGUUGAAAAAAUAUUUCAUCUCUAAAACCAACUCUCUUUAUAGUGGAGUUCUCUAUAUGAUUGUAUAUCACACAUUGACAAUAAAAGGUUGCCAACUAUUUAAGAGUUCAAUUGUUGCAUAUCUCAAAGUAUGUAGUAAAAAUGAAUCCAUAGGCACCACGCCAAAGGCAUCAUGGAUUUGGCCUCAAAUUGCUCUGUCAAAGUGACCUCACAUUGUCAAGCUCAUGAUGUGGAUUGAGCACACUACCUCAUAACUUAAUGUAGUAAGUUAGGCUAUUAUAUAUAUAUAUAUUUUGACUUAAAUUGUAUCUUUUCAUUGUUUAAUAAGGAGAUAGUAGUUUCUAGAACUAGAGUUGAAGUAUAUCAUCAUACCCCUUGCUUAUCCUCCCACUAAACUCAUGUAGAUGAACUAUAUCUUUCAAGACAUUGACAUCUAACUUACUUUUACCAUCAAAAAUGCUUUCUGAAAUCAAAGUGACCCUCAAAUGAAGGCAAAUUCAAUUUUUCAUACUCGUACAAAGUACACGGAGUUGGUUUGUCACCUCAUUCAUGAAAAGAUUGAUAUUGAAGCUUUCGCCUUGUGUUUACACCCUUUAAACGAUAAAUUGCUCAUCGUUUUGUAAUAAAGCUCUGCGACAAGUUCCCUUUGAGUAGUUUCAAGUCAAGUCAGGUGGUCAUAGCUUCCAUAUCCUAACUUGAGGGUUGAUCAAUGUUUCAAAAUGUGGUUUCAAAAAAUUUUUUAAAAAAAAAUAAAUAAAAGCGAAACAUGAAAAAGAAAGUCAUCAUUUUGAAUAAAUGUUUUAAAAUAGAACUCAAAUACAUAUUUUUAUUAAUAAAAGUGUCAUUUUCAACCAAAACUUUUGAUCUCGAUCAUUCAAGGUCAAUAAUGACACAUUAAAUAAAAUUUCCAUAUGAUUCGAAUUAAAACCCAAAAGAUUCUCACACUUGGUGACUAUAUUUACUUUGUUUACAAGGCAAUAAUUGUCCGACCAUAUCCUAUAAAAGUCAUUAUUAAAUCACAAUUAUUUCUAAUAUAAUUUUGUCUAUAUUAUAUUAAUUAAUUUAUGUAUUGCAAUAUCGUGAUUUCAUGAGACCCUUAUGUAUAACUGCUUAAAGAUAUUCUUUUAUUGGCUAUAAAUAUCAUUCAAAAUUUAAAUUUAAAAAAAAAAUUUAAAUAUCUUUUUUGAAUUAACAAAAAAGUUAAAAAGAGAAUAUUUGGAAAGUAUUUUCAAAAAUACUAUUUUCAUGCUUUAAAACAUGUUUAUUAAUUUUUUGAGAACUCAUUAUGAAAAUAGGAUUUUUAUAGAAAUAUAUAUUUAAUUGUUUUAAGAUGAAAUACGAUCGAAAAUAAAAUAUUAUAAUUAAAGUUAUUAAGAUAGUAAUAUUUCAAGUUUUUAAAUAAACUUAUGUUCAAAACCAUUAUAGACUGUUUUCGAAAAUUAUUUUUUUAUGUUUCUAAACGGUCUCUAAGUUUUUUCUACAUACUUUUUAACAAUCAGGUCAAUCUUUUGCAAUAGGUUUUAUUUCUUAUAUAGGAUUAUUACUAUCUUUUGAAAGUGAUUUUUAGUAUCCAUUUUGAUAUUUUUAAUUUUGAGAAAAAGGAAAAUGGAUCCAAAUGUACAUUGGAAAACAUUUUAAAAAUUUGCAAAAAAAAGAGAUAUGGACAAACUUUUACUCCAAAUUUAAAAAUUUUAAAAGGCAAAUAUAUAUAUUUUUGUAUAAAAAGUUUUUCUUCUCAUGUAGAAUUAUUAUUAUUAUUUUUUGAACGUGAUUUUUAGUAUCCAUUUGGAUACACAUACUUCUUUUUUCUUUUUCUUUUUUCUAAAAAAAAGGAAAUGUAUCUAAAUGGAUACUUGAGAAUCACUUUCAAAGAAUAAUAAUAAAUUAUAUAUAAAAGGUUUAACUUUUUAUAUAAAAUGUAUAUAUUUAUUUUAUAUUUUUAAAAAUUACUUUUGAAAAAGAAUUGCCAAAAGAAAUAUGAUUUUCUUAUUUUGAAUUUACUAUAAAAACUAGAAAAAAAAUUUGAAUAUUGUUAAAUUUAGAUAAAAAUUCACAUAUUUUUAAAUUAUUUAAUUUUAUAUAGAAAAUUUAAAAUAAAUUAAAUAAGAUUGGUGUGAAAUAUGAAAAUAAUUUAUUGAUUUUAAAUAUAUUAUUAUUUUUAUUUUAUAAAAUUAUGUGUUUUCAAAUUAAAAUGAUUUUCCUUUAUUUUAUUUUCCUUCAUCCCACACAAUAAUUGGGUGGGUUCUUCAUAAAAUUUACAUUAAUACUGCAACUUAUUUGUUUCCUUACCUAAAAGUAACUUCCUUGCAUGCUUAAAAUAUUUUUAUAGGUUUUUUUUUGUUUAAUUUAUCAUUUUAAAAUAAUUUUGUCUUAAUAAUAAUAAAUAAUAAUAAUAAUAAUUUAAACUAGUUUUUUAUUAGAAAAAAAUAUUUUUGAAAAAUCAUUAUAUAAGAAAGAAUAAAAAUAAUAAUAUUGUUUCAUGAGGAAAAUAAAUUUAAUUAUUAAUUUUCAAACUUUGGUACUUAAAAUUGAAAUAUGUCAUAUUUUUGUGAAAUGUUUUCAAAUAUUUUAUUUAGUUAUAAAAAAUAAAAAAUAAAUAAAUUUUAUAUGGAUGAACUCAUCCAAUUGGUAAUCUUCAUAUACAAGACUUAAUAAUAUUAGGAUAAUAUUUUCUAAUUUUCAUAUAUUGAUUGUGGUAAUGGUCCAUUCUUUUGGCUAUAUGCAUCUCAUCUCCACACAAUUUUCAACUAAAUUGGAAUAUUUCUUUUUCCCAAUUCAUAAAUAUUUCCUUGAAUAAAAAAUAAAUAAAAUAAUUUUUAGUGUAUUUCUUGAGAUACUAAAAAAUAAAUAAAUGAAAAUCAAGGGGUAGCAUGUCCUUGAAGGCUUAACAAAAGCCAAAGUUUUCCACAAUUUAGGGCUUUUUGUUGAGAAAAUAAAAAACAAGGAGUAAUUAAAAGCACACUAAUCAAUGCCAAAUUGCCAAUACAUCGCCCUCAAUUAAUUCUCCCCCCCAAAAAAAAAAAGAAAAAAAAAGUACAAUCCUAGAAGGAAUCUUUCUAUCCCUAAUUUUCCCGCCAAAAUUUUGUCACUUAAUUGGUCCAACCCCUACAUGGACCAACAAACGCACCCACCGACCCCCGUCACCAUUUCAACCCCAUACAUCAUGAUUGAUGAAGACCCACUCACAAUAGGCCCCCUAAUAAAUAAUUAUAUAUAUAUAAUAAAAUAAAAUAAUAUAAAGUGAAAUUUUCAAGUAGCUUACAAACUGAAACCAUAUCAUGAGUUUGGGAUUUUUUUUUAAACCCUGUUUUUUAACAUCAACCGUCAAAUUUUAUAUAUAAAAAAAAGUGGGUCCCAAGGAGAUAUUAUAAAAUAUUUUUAUCUAUUCUAAUAUUAAUAGAUUCCUUCUUUGAGAUUAAUGAAUUAAAAGCGACAAAAGGAUAUCAAUUUUAUAAAACUAACAUUUCUUAUUUUUUAUUUUGAAGAAAAACUCAUUUUUGACUUAAAUACUCUUAAACAUUUUUAUUAUUUUACAUAUGUAUUUUAAAAGAAAAUGUUAUUUUUACACUAAAAAAAUAAAGAUAUUCUUGUCCAAAAUAAGUAUUUUUGGGUGAAAAAAAAAACGGAAGAUUAGAUUUUUAAUUUCAUAUUUAUUUUGUCCCUUUUAAUUCAUUAUCUUUUUUUUUUAUCAACAAAAUUUUUAUAUUUAAUAGCCUUUUGGUACUUUGAAUCAUCAUGCAUCAUGUAAAUAAAUAAUAAAAAUGAAUAUUUCUUUUAAAAUAUGAAUAAAAAUUUUUAGUUGGGAUUUUGAAAUCUUUCUCCACCAAUUGAACCUCAAAGCUCUUCCUUCUUGGGAGGGAAUCUCCUGAAAACCUUAAACCCUAGAAUUAGAAAACAAAAUGGAGAUAAUAUUAGUUUAUGAUGGCAAAAAUGGUAAUUACACGUUGUUGGGCACAAAUUUCAUGGGCCAAAAAAUUUGCUGAUGGGCUUUUCCAAGGGCCGUACAUUUGGCGACGUGUGACUUCCCACCCAAUCAUCGCCCCCCUUUCCCUCCAAAACACUCAACCCUUUUCAAUGCUUUUCUCACGUCCUCCCGCCAUUUUCCUCGCUUCAUGAGCGUGUCGCACACUUGCCAUGGAGAGGGGGUGGGGAAUUGAGUCUCCCUCUCUCUCUUCAUGGACGUCUGAGGUCAGAGAAAAAGACAGAAUUCACGGCGGGGUUUGGCCUAUGAAGCCAAUAAGGGAGAGCGUGGUGUGCACGCAGAAUAAGGGUGAUUUGGGCGGUGGGUUUGGGUUCCCAAAAGAGGAAUAACAUAGGAUUCCCUGUGAAAAAUAUGUGAUUCUUGGGAGUUGGGAAUUGAUUUAAUUAAUGUUGUUGACACUUGAUCUUGAUCUUCGUAGGUACUUACCAUAUUAAUGGUUUUAUCAAAGUCUCCUUUACUUUAUUAAAAUGUCAUGAAAAUAUUCCUACCCUACUGCCCUAACACCUACAAUGCUUUGACGGGGUGAUCUUCUAUUCCUUCUCCAAAAUAUUUUCAUUGAGGAUGAUUUUUAUUUUGAUCGUAGUCGUGGGGAUUUUUUAUUUCUUUAUUUUUUUUCGAAUAUUAAUAAAAAGUUUAUUUAAAAAAUAAAUAUAAAAUAUAAUAUAAUAUCUCAUAUCACUGAAGAGUGAAUAAAAAAAUGUAAUAUAUAUAAAAGACUUUCAUAACACACUAUCAAAGUAACCUCUUUAGGAUAUAGACUUAAUAAAUAAGAAAAUUUGGAGUUGACUAAAGGAUCAUAUGUGCAUCAUUAUAACCCUGAAUUUGAUAAUAUUGGAGGAAGAGUAGUGUCAUAACAAAAUGGUAUUGGAGCUUUAUUUUUAUUCGAAAAUGUAGUACGUUAAGCCUUAAAAGAGGUGGACUAAUAUAUUUUAAAGUGAGGUUUGGGUUUGUUAUUAUAAAUGAUUACGAUACUUUUAAUCAUAAUUUCUUUUGAACACAAUGAAAUAGAGUUCUUAUAUUUAUAUAAUUUCAAAAAAUGGGUUCUUUUUUAUUUUUAUUUUUUUAUACUCAACUUGUUUUGUUAAAUAUAUAUAUAUAUAUAUAUAUAUAUAUAUAUAUAUAUAUAUAUAUAUUUUAAAAUACCAUAUUGAUGCAACUAAAAAGAAUAUUUGUAAGGAAAAAAAUAUUAUAAUAAUAAUAAUAAUAAUAAUAAUAAAAUAAAUAUAAAAAUAUGAUACUUUCUAUUAUAUGAACUCAUGUUUUCAAAUGGAGUUGAUGUUAUUUUAUUUUAGGUAUUUUGAUUUGUAAGAAAUUAAACUAAAAUUCAAUUAUGAUUUUUAGGGUGUUUGAUAAAACUUAAUAUUUAUUACUUAAUAACUUAAGUUGAUUUUAAGUUAAGUUAUAUUUAAAUUAUUAACUUAAAACUUAUUACUUAAUUUUUACUUUAGAUAUUAAGGUUGUUUGAUAAAGUUAAUUCACAAUUUAUUCUAAAUUAUAAAAUUGACAUAUUUAUCAUCAUAUAUUAUAACUAGAGUAAAAAAUGUUGAAUAAUAGUAAAAUGAAGAUCAUAGAAUAACAAAAGAAAUCAUAAAGGUAACUAGGAUAAAUAAGAGUAAAAAUGUAAAAUGAAGUUACAAAUUUAAAAAUAAGUUAAUUAUUUUUACUAAUUACUUAAAGUUAUUUUUUACUUUAAGUUAUACCAUUAAAUUAUUUUAUUAAAUAUACUUAAUUUAAUUAAUAACUUAAAUUAAAUUAUUAACUCAUUUAAAGUUAUUAAAUCGAUUUAUCAAACACCCACUUAAUUUUAAAAUAACAUAAAAAUGAAUUGAGAAAUUUCAAUCAAAUCUGGGGUUGAGUUGGGGUUGGGGGGAGGCUUCUCCAACCUAUAUUUUAUGUAUAUUAGUUGUGUUAAUAUAGUCAUAUUUUAGAAGUUAGUAAAUAAAUUUGAAGUUGUUAUAAAUUAUUUAUGUAUUUGAAAUUUUUUUGCUACUUUCGAAUUCAAUUUUAUCCAGUACAUGAAUUUAAAGCAAAACUCCUUUGAAAAUAAUUGCUUAGUAAUCAUCAGCAGUUCUAGUAAUAAUAAAGAAAGAAGACAAGCAUAUAUAAUGGGUUGACAGCUUAAGAGGGUGGAGAAGAUCUUCUGGGACAAGAAUGAUAUACAAGAAAUACAGCUCAUGGAAAGGCACUCAAUAAAAACAUGGCUGUAUGGGAAACUCAUCAGAAAUGAAUUCUAAAAUGUAUGUCCCAAACCUGUAGUUUAGAUGGAGGAUUGGAGAUGUUAUUCCUAGGGCUGGAGUUUUUUAACUUGGCUGGAUCAGGCUGCAUCAUCCCCAAAACCCUGCAGAAGCUACUCAUGAAGUUUUCUGGGCUUAUAGCUCCGGAGCAGCAUCAGAGGCAGCCAGGCCAUUCACAUCAUUUUCUGCAGUCUCCUCAGCAUCAUCAUCUAAAACAAUGGCAGCAGCAUUUUCUGCUGUCUCCUCAGCAUCAUCUAGUGAGACAAAAGCAGCAGUAGGAUCUCCCGGUUGUUCUAAACUAAUACCAGAGAAAUAGGGAGCAGCAAAACCAUCUCCUAGUUGCUCUACCAUCAGCCUCAUCAUUUCUUGUUUCAAUUUCCAAUUCACCAACUCAAAUUUGUGCUCUGGGGUAUGCUGCUGAUUAAACCGGCCUGGAAGCUUGGAGUUGGUAUUGUAGCAAUCUCCACAAAGGUCGAACCCUAUUUUCUCCUUGCAAUCUUUGCAUCUGUAUCGGUCCCCAACUAUCGGAUACAUCUACAAAGACAAAACUCAAACAUUACUGUGCUGCAGAUGAACUCUAUACUGCAGACAAGGAAGAGAAAAAACUUACCAUAUUGCAUUUCAAAAUGGUACAAUAAUUUUGAUUUGAACAGAAAACUACAGAAGCAGAAGUUAUCUGGGUUUCUGCUUUUAGUUCAACAGCCAUUGUGAUAUAAUUCUAAAUAUUAGUACCCUUUGAAAAGGUGAACAAUCUUUCUACUUAUCAGAAAGAAGACGAAAAUCUGUGUUCAGGAAGCAAUGUUGGUUACUCAGAAGGAUGUUGCCUAAACUCCAACAGGCAUGGGAAGUGUAAAGCAAACCCAGAAGAGAAAAAUCACACAAGCAAGCUUCUUAUCAUCUAUGCAAUUUCAGAUGCUAAUAGAUGUCUGUGGGCACACAUCUAUGAAUAUUUUUGUACUCAUUUGUCCUCAAAAGCAUUUCAUGGUUUUUAAGUACUAAUUUUAAGAAAUCUUGAAAAUAAUCUAAACAACCGAUUUCCAGGGACAAUAAUGCAUUAUAAAUAAUCAAAUAAUGAAGUAAUUUUUUUUUUUAAAUCAGAAUCAAAUAAUUAAGGUGAUGUUUGGAAACACUUCCUAUUUUUUAUUUUAAAAAAAUAGAAACUCCUAUACAAAAUUUAAGAAUUCUGAUAUAAAAAGCAGAAAUUUUCCUAGUGUCCUUAAAACUCUUUUCAAAAUUCAAAAUUAUCACUUUCACAUUAAAACUCCUUUCAAAGAACUCCCGUCAUUCUGACACCAUCCUAGGUUCUAUGUAAGUUUAUUCUUAGCUCCAUUGGACUCACAUCAUUGCGACACCAACCUAGGUUCUAUCUAACUUUAUUCUUAGUUCUUUUGAACUCCCCAUCAUUGUGGUGCCAUCCUACGUUCUAUCUAAAAGUUUAUUCUUAGCUCCUUUGGACUCCCAUCAUUGGGAUGCAAUCCUAGGUUCUAUUUAAGUUUAUUCUUAGCUCCUUUGGACUCCUGUCAUUGCGAUACCAUCCUAGAUUCUAAGUUUAUUUUUUGUUACUUUGGAUUCCCAUCAUUGUGACACCAUUCUAAGUUAUAUCUAAGUUUAUUCUUUGUUCCUUUUGACUCCCAUCAUUGGAACGCCAUCCUAAGUUUGAAGUUUAUUCUUAUAGCUCCUUUGGAUUUCUGUGAUUAGGCCGUCAUCUUAGGUUCUAUCUAAGUUUAUCCCUAGUUCCUUUGGACUUCCGUCAUUACGACGUCAUCCUAGGUUCUAAGUUUAUUCUUAGUAUCUUUGGGAGUAAAAUUUGUGAAAGUGAAAAUUUUUUACUUAAAUUUUAAAAAUUGUAAAAUGUGUUUUCAAGAUCGCAAUGUAUGUAUUUAUUUUUUAUAUAAGAA
rnacentral:lncRNA from 1 species